AUCUAGAAUUUUCUUCACCUCACUGUCUGACACAUUCUUUUAGCUGAGUGUGUGAAGGUCAGAGAGGCAGGAACCUGGUACCCGAAACAUGAGUCAGUCCAUAAGCUCAGGCUGUGGUUCACCUCCCUCCCUCAGAUGGAGUAUCAGCAUCAAACCUCCCACAAAAGUUCAUCUGUUUCCAGAUUACUGAAUGAUGACCCAUUGUUCUGGUGAAAGUCUUACACAAAGGAAUUCGCUGACUCAGCUCAGGCUUAAGGCUAGGUGCCAGUAUCGUAUGUUCAGGUGAUGUCACAGGUUAAAUGUUGAACACCUAGUGGUCACUUCUGCUCAUUUAGUUGGAUUUAUUUACGAGAACAAUGAGUCACUUCAUCAUGUUGUGUUUUCUUUUUCUCUGUUUGUAUGUCACCCAGUGCGUGCUCAUUGUUGAGGCCAUCGUUGACACAGGAAAGACCAUGAAGGCCCUUCUGAAGCAUGUGGAGACCUUUGAACCCAAGAUGGUCAAGGUUGCGGGUUUGCUGGUGAAGAGGGUUCCCAACAUGGACCAACAUUUGACAGACUGUAAGUAGUACUACUACUUUUUGGAAAUCAUUCAUUAUGA